ACGGGUGAGUAACACGUGGGCAAUCUGCCCUUCACUCUGGGACAAGCCCUGGAAACGGGGUCUAAUACCGGAUAACACUCUGUCCCGCAUGGGACGGGGUUGAAAGCUCCGGCGGUGAAGGAUGAGCCCGCGGCCUAUCAGCUUGUUGGUGGGGUAAUGGCCUACCAAGGCGACGACGGGUAGCCGGCCUGAGAGGGCGACCGGCCACACUGGGACUGAGACACGGCCCAGACUCCUACGGGAGGCAGCAGUGGGGAAUAUUGCACAAUGGGCGAAAGCCUGAUGCAGCGACGCCGCGUGAGGGAUGACGGCCUUCGGGUUGUAAACCUCUUUCAGCAGGGAAGAAGCGAAAGUGACGGUACCUGCAGAAGAGCGCCGGCUAACUACGUGCCAGCAGCCGCGGUAAUACGUAGGGCGCAAGCGUUGUCCGGAAUUAUUGGGCGUAAAGAGCUCGUAGCGGCUUGUCACGUC
rnacentral:rRNA from 1 species